GGCAAAUUCAGGGGCAAUUUUUGCUUUUCAACAGUGAAUCUGCCAUAUCUCUGGUAACACAAUCUACCCUUCUUUUCUAGGGAUGAACCUGUACAAGACCAUGAUUGGAAAGUGUGGGGACCAAGCACCCAGCGGCCAGAGAAACAUCAUGUGGACUGUUUCUGUCUUGGCUAAUCCUCAUCAGUGCUUUGAGCUGCAGGAAGUCAUGAGAACCAAGGCAACACAGGUGCAUCACCAGGGAUUUGCUCUUCUCCUGGUCUGCUCUUGAAGCACAGCACGAAGUUUCAUCCUUUGCUUCUGCAGCAAGUUCUUGUUACCCAGUUCCCGCUGACAAUGAGGGAAGAGGCACAAGUCAGCUCAGAAAAUGAACGACUAGAAGACUGUGUGGUCUCAGUGAUAUUGUACCAUCCUGGUUCCUGCUUUCAGGCUGGAGUCACAAGCUGGACUUGGAAGAAGCAACUUUCGGGCAGAGAUGUAACUGCAGAGUUAAUACUAUGCCAGGGUCUUGGGUUAUCUCAUGCAACCUUUCUGUGUUGACUGCUCUGUGUUAGUUUUGCUCAGACAGAAGGUAGAGGUAAUGGAUAAUUUCUUUAUGGAUGAAAGCAACAAAGUUUCCUGAUGUCUAGUAACUACUCAAUACCAGCAACUUACACAUCCCUCUGUGCUACUACUAUUGCUUUGAAGCAAUUUAUUUAGUCACUUGGACUUUAACUACUCAGAUGCAUUCCUUCCUGCUGCAGCAGCAGGGAUACAGGAAGGGGUGUUUGAAACCACGCGGUGAUUUCCACCCUGGAUUUCAUGAGGGGUUAUUCUUGUCUCAGAGAUGACGCAUUCAAAUAUCCUUCUACAGAUUCCAGGUGAGUUAGUCACAUUUAGAUGCUUCCAAGUAAUACACAGAAAGGUGCUGAGAAAAUGACGAGUCCCUGCCUAGUCAGAAAAAAAAGCUCAGCAAAAGUAGAUCAGAGCAAAUUACAUGGACCAGCCCUCAAAUUUUUCUAAGAAAACCUGGGACCAAAGGGCUUUUAUAUUCAAAAAUGUGUGGCCAACAGGGAUGCACAGUAUUUACUUUACUGACUGACCCAUGAGCUGCUCUCUGUCCCCAGAAACAGUUCAGGAAAUGACUGGAAGUAUCUGAAGACAUAAAAAGGAUAAUUAAGUUUCAUUGUGGAAAUAAGAGGGUAAUCUGUCCAGACAAAUCUAGGACCUAGUACUGAAAGCUAUAGUAUCUGAAUAUAAAAAAUGAGUAAUUUUGAAUAAAGAUGUCUAUCAGGACUGUAAAUUCA
rnacentral:lncRNA from 1 species